UACGGAGGGGGCUAGCGUUGUUCGGAAUUACUGGGCGUAAAGCGCACGUAGGCGGCUUUGCAAGUCAGAGGUGAAAGCCCGGGGCUCAACCCCGGAAUAGCCUUUGAGACUGCAUCGCUAGAAUUGUGGAGAGGUAAGUGGAAUUCCGAGUGUAGAGGUGAAAUUCGUAGAUAUUAGGAAGAACACCAGUGGCGAAGGCGGCUCACUGGUCCGGUACUGACGCUGAGGUGCGAAAGCGUGGGGAGCAAACAGG
rnacentral:rRNA from 1 species